GACAGAGGCCCCAAGCGUUAGGCGGAAUCACUGGGCUUAAAGCGUGUGCAGGCGGACGCCUAAGUGUCUUGUGAAAUACCCACGGCUCACCCGUGGAACUGCUGGGCAUACUGGGCGUCUUGGGCCAACUAGGGGCAGCCGGAACAAGCGGUGGAGCGGUGAAAUGCGUAGAUAUCGCUUGGAACGCCGAAGGUGAAAACAGGCUGCUGGGGUUGCGCCGACGCUGAGACACGAAAGCCAGGGGAGCAAACGGG
rnacentral:rRNA from 1 species